UCCAGGAUGGCCAAGCGGUCAAAGGCGCUGCGUUUCAUGCACUCGGAUUUGGCGUGGGUUUUUGAAUCCCACUUCUGAUCAU